rnacentral:lncRNA from 1 species
UGUCUGUGUCGCUUGACAAGUAUACCUAUUAAUCAGUUGACCUCUCUCUAUUUGUGUUUUCUUCUAGGUCGGCUGACCCUGGUCUUCUUUGAGUUUAUGAUAUUCCCCGCUCGUCCGAGCUUUUGUAGGCCGAAGCAAAUGCUUAGAUGAGAAGAAGUCAGAGCAAAAGUCAAAACAAGAAGGACAAAGAAGUCUCUUCCACUCCUCUAGAGGUUGAGGAUGAGGAAGUGAUGGGGACGACGAUGCUCGUGCAAGAUAAGAUGACGACUGGCUGACUUACCGAACGGACGGACACUUUGAUCUUGAUCGUGCAAUCUAAGUCGCAAUGAAGGACUAUCGUCAAUGCGACUGGAGCCGCUAGAUUCCACAACAACGAUCUUCAAACUGAUAAACCAACCUUUCACUUCUCAUAUGGGGAACCAUCCACAUGAGGACCAGAAGACGAUAUUCUAAGGCUAUAUAGAGCCCUUAUCCAAGAAAUGAACUAUCUUGCUCAGCAUACCUCACCAAAGCUCUUCAAAUCAAUCUUCUCGGUACUUGAACUUGAUUCUUUAAAGCCGGGAACUCCAUUCAAUUAGCCCCAUAAGCUCUCCCCUUGCUUUGCUCAUUUUCUCUUGAUACGCUUACCUUGCCCGUUUAGGUUUUCAUGAAGUAGACAGGGGCAGGGAAAUUCCUAGCUAGGUUCUUCGUCUCAGUGCUCUCUCGGCAGCCAGCUCGUCAAAGUACCAAACCCUGGCUUUCUACCCUGAACAUUGGGUAUCUUCUUCUGGCCCCUUGGG